GACGAACGCUGGCGGCGUGCUUAACACAUGCAAGUCGAACGGACAGGCCCUGCUUUUGUGGGGUGCUCGAGUGGCGAACGGGUGAGUAACACGUGAGUAACCUGCCCUUGUCUUUGGGAUAACUUCAGGAAACUGGGGCUAUUACCGCGUAGGAGCUCCUGCUGCAUGGUGUGGGUUGGUAAGUUUCGGCGGUUGGGGAUGGACUCGCGGCUUAUCAGCUGGUUGGUGGGGUAGUGGCUUACCAAGGCUUUGACGGGUAGCCGGCCUGAGAGGGUGACCGGCCACAUUGGUACUGAGAGACGGCCCAGACGCGUACGGGCGGCAGCAGUGGGGAAUAUUGCACAGUGGGCGGAAGCCUGAUGCAGCAACGCCGCGUGCGUGAUGACGGCUUUCGGGUUGUAAACCGCUUUCGCCUGUGCCGAAGCGGGAGUGACGGUAAUGGGUAAAGAAGCACCGGCUAACUACGUG
rnacentral:rRNA from 1 species